rnacentral:rRNA from 1 species
AGAGUUUGAUUAUGGCUCAGAUUGAACGCUGGCGGCAGGCCUAACACAUGCAAGUCGAGCGGCAGCGGGAAAGUAGCUUGCUACUUUUGCCGGCGAGCGGCGGACGGGUGAGUAAUGCCUGGGGAUCUGCCCAGUCGAGGGGGAUAACAGUUGGAAACGGCUGCUAAUACCGCAUACGCCCUACGGGGGAAAGCAGGGGACCUUCGGGCCUUGCGCGAUUGGAUGAACCCAGGUGGGAUUAGCUAGUUGGUGGGGUAAUGGCUCACCAAGGCGACGAUCCCUAGCUGGUCUGAGAGGAUGAUCAGCCACACUGGAACUGAGACACGGUCCAGACUCCUACGGGAGGCAGCAGUGGGGAAUAUUGCACAAUGGGGGAAACCCUGAUGCAGCCAUGCCGCGUGUGUGAAGAAGGCCUUCGGGUUGUAAAGCACUUUCAGCGAGGAGGAAAGGUUGAUGCCUAAUACGCAUCAGCUGUGACGUUACUCGCAGAAGAAGCACCGGCUAACUCCGUGUCAGCCGCCGCGGUAA